rnacentral:rRNA from 1 species
GACGAACGCUGGCGGCGUGCUUAACACAUGCAAGUCGAACGGAAAGGCCCUGCUUUUGUGGGGUGCUCGAGUGGCGAACGGGUGAGUAACACGUGAGUAACCUGCCCUUGACUUUGGGAUAACUUCAGGAAACUGGGGCUAAUACCGGAUAGGAGCUCCUGCUGCAUGGUGGGGGUUGGAAAGUUUCGGCGGUUGGGGAUGGACUCGCGGCUUAUCAGCUUGUUGGUGGGGUAGUGGCUUACCAAGGCUUUGACGGGUAGCCGGCCCGAGAGGGUGACCGGCCACAUUGGGACUGAGAUACGGCCCAGACUCCUACGGGAGGCGGCAGUGGGGAAUAUUGCACAAUGGGCGGAAGCCUGAUGCAGCAACGCCGCGUGCGGGAUGACGGCCUUCGGGUUGUAAACCGCUUUCGCCUGUGACGAAGCGUGAGUGACGGUAAUGGGUAAAGAAGCACCGGCUAACUACGUG